GCCCGAAUAGCUCAGCGGUUAGAGCGAGAGAUUGCAGAUCUCUAGGUCCAUCGUUCGAAUCGGUGUUCGGGCU
rnacentral:tRNA from 2 species